CGGAGAGUGCAAACGUUGUUCGGAUUCACUGGGCGUAAAGGGCACGUAGGCGGCUCGGCAAAUCGGUCGUGGAAUCUCGACGCUUACCGUCGAAACGGCGGCCGAAAAUACCGGGCUCGAGGGCGUGAGGGGUCACUGGAACUCCUGGUGAGGCGGUGAAAUGCGUAGAUAUCAGGAGGAACGCCGGAGGCGAAAGCGAGUGACUGGCGCGUUCCUGACGCUGAGGUGCGAAAGCUAGGGGAGCAAACAGGAUUAGAUACCCUGGUAGUCCUAGCCGUAAACGAUGGACACUGAGUGGAGGAGGGCUUGCCUUUCUCUGCUGCAGCUAACGCGUUAAGUGUCCCGCCUGGGGAGUACGGCCGCAAGGUUA
rnacentral:rRNA from 1 species